rnacentral:lncRNA from 1 species
UCGGUGGUUGAUGGUUUGUCAUCUUGGUGCCCCGUCAUUUUCUCCAGUGGGUCGUAUGCCCCAGACUUUAUUUGUCUCCUCAGCACAGUCAUGAGUAGAGCUGUUAUUAAUAUCCCCAUCGGAUUUGCGAGCAGAGUUGUUGUCACUCUUCCCAGUGCAGUUGCCAGCGGAAUUGUCUGUUUCCUCAGCACGAUCGCUUUCUUUUUGAAGACUUGGUAAGUCAGUGGUUUGAUACCCAGUACUUUACCUUU